rnacentral:rRNA from 1 species
UACGUAGGUGGCAAGCGUUGUCCGGAAUUAUUGGGCGUAAAGCGCGCGCAGGCGGUCCCUUAAGUCUGAUGUGAAAGCCCCCGGCUCAACCGGGGAGGGCCAUUGGAAACUGGGAGGCUUGAGUAUAGGAGAGAAGAGUGGAAUUCCACGUGUAGCGGUGAAAUGCGUAGAGAUGUGGAGGAACACCAGUGGCGAAGGCGACUCUUUGGCCUAUAACUGACGCUGAGGCGCGAAAGCGUGGGGAGCAAACAGG